GGGGAUUUAGCUCAGCGGCAUAAGUACCUGCCUUGCAAGCAGGCGGUCAUGAGUUCGAUCCGUAAUACCAA
rnacentral:tRNA from 1 species